CGCUUUAUAGUUUAAACAAAACAAUAAAUUGCAAAUUUAUAAAUGCACUCUAAACAGGCUAAAGCUU
rnacentral:tRNA from 1 species